rnacentral:rRNA from 1 species
GACGGGGACCCGGACAAGCGGUGGAUGAUGUGGAUUAAUUCGAUGCAACGCGAACAACCUUACCUACCCUUGACAUGUCCGGAAGCCUGUAGAGAUACGGGGGUGCCCGAAAGGGAGCCGGAACACAGGUGCUGCAUGGCUGUCGUCAGCUCGUGUCGUGAGAUGUUGGGUUAAGUCCCGCAACGAGCGCAACCCUUGUCCUUAGUUGCUACGCAAGGGCACUCUAAGGAGACUGCCGGUGACAAACCGGAGGAAGGUGGGGACGACGUCAAGUCCUCAUGGCCCUUAUGGGUAGGGCUUCACACGUCAUACAAUGGCCGGUACAGAGGGUUGCCAACCCGCGAGGGGGAGCCAAUCCCAGAAAGCCGGUCGCAGUCCGGAUUGCAGUCUGCAACUCGACUGCAUGAAGUCGGAAUCGCUAGUAAUCGCGGAUCAGCAUGUCGCGGUGAAUACGUUCCCGGGUCUUGUACACACCGCCCGUCACACCAUGGGAGUGGGUUUUACCAGAAGCAGGUAGCCUAACCGUAAGGAGGGCGCCUACCACGGUAGGAUUCAUGACUGGGGUGAAGUCGUAACAAGGUAGCCGUA